AUUGAACGCUGGCGGCAGGCUUAACACAUGCAAGUCGAGCGGAGAUGAGGUGCUUGCACCUUAUCUUAGCGGCGGACGGGUGAGUAAUGCUUAGGAAUCUGCCUAUUAGUGGGGGACAACAUUCCGAAAGGAAUGCUAAUACCGCAUACGCCCUACGGGGGAAAGCAGGGGAUCUUCGGACCUUGCGCUAAUAGAUGAGCCUAAGUCGGAUUAGCUAGUUGGUGGGGUAAAGGCCUACCAAGGCGACGAUCUGUAGCGGGUCUGAGAGGAUGAUCCGCCACACUGGGACUGAAACACGGCCCAGACUCCUACGGGAGGCAGCAGUGUGGAAUAUUGGACAAUGGGCGGAAGCCUGAUCCAGCCAUGCCGCGUGUGUGAAGAAGGCCUUUUGGUUGUAAAGCACUUUAAGCGAGGAGGAGGCUACCUGGAUUAAUACUCUAGGAUAGUGGACGUUACUCGCAGAAUAAGCACCGGCUAACUCUGUGCCAGCAGCCGCCGCCG
rnacentral:rRNA from 1 species